rnacentral:rRNA from 1 species
ACUUGGAUAAAAAUCUAUGGCUUGAGUAUUAAAAGAUAUGUUCUUGAAAUUUAAAGGAUUUGGCGGUAAUUUAGUCUUGUCAGGGGAACCUGUUUUUUAAUCGAUAAACCACGAAUAAUCUUACUUAGUUUUAAAGUUUGUAUACCGUCAUUAUCAGAUAAUUUUUAAAGAAUAAAAUUAUUGUUCAGGUUAUUUCGGUUAAAUUAGAUCAAGGUGCAGCUAAUAGCUAAGUUAAAAUGGGUUACAAUAAAAGCUUAUUUAUAAUGAAAAGAUGAGGGAAAGUUGGUCUUAGAAGGUGGAUUUGAUUGUAUUUUAGUUUUAAUAAGACUGAGAGAUAUAAGCUCUAAAUUAUGU